UCCCAAUUUGUGCUGGGACCUGAAGGUGCAGCAACAAUUCAGCCACUGGAGGCAGGCAGAGAGCACAGAGAGUGUGAAAGUCACUAGACCAACAGAGAAAGAGGCACGAAGACCCAACCAUCCCUUGCAGCAAGCAGGGUCAGUCUGGAAAGACAGGAUGACUCCUCUUCUCUGGAGAGGACGUUGCAAGUUGAAGACCCUUCCUGUCUCCAGUAGGGGGAGUCAUCCCUAUCAGGAAUGGCGUCCCCCUCCAUCUGUGGCAAACCUGAGCUUCCUGCUGCAUGUGUGAAAAAGCUCAACCUUGUGGAAAUACAAAACCAGGAACCGAAAAGCACAUAAAACAAGCUUCCCCAUUCCUCUCUUCAAGGCCACAGUGAAAAUGUGAAAAAGAAAGUUCAGGUUCCUGUUCUGCAGCAAUGUAGCAUAUUAAAAG